rnacentral:rRNA from 1 species
AUUGAACGCUGGCGGCCGGCCUAACACAUGCAAGUCGCGCGAGCGGCGGACGGGUGAGUAAUGUAUGGGGACUGCCCGCUAGAGGGGGAUAACUACUGGAAACGGUGGAUAAUACCGCCUACUAUUGGAUAACACAUAUGGGAUUAGCUAUUAGGUGGGGUAAAGGCUCACCUAGGCGGCGAUCUCGAGCGGGUCUGAGAGGAUGCUCGGCCACCCUGGGACUGAGACACGGCCCAGACUCCGCCGGAGGCAGGAGUGGGGAAUAGUGCACAAUGGGCGCAAGCCUGAUGCAGCCAUGCCGCGUGUAUGAAGAAGGCCUUAGGGUUGUAAAGUACUUUCAGCGGGGAGGCGUUACCCGCAGAAGAAGCACCGGCUAACUCCGUGCCAGCAGCCGCGGUAAUAC